CUUUUCUUAAUGCUUUCAUCACCCCCACUCAGGAUCACCCUUGGCUGUGCUGGCGCGGCACAGAAACUUUCUACUAACUAGAGACCCCUUGGUGCAAAUUAUGUCUGAGGUGUGACAACAGCAGGAAGGAAGGGUAUGUAAGAUUUUCACCUUGAAAGUAGCUUACCUUGUUCAGCAGUUUGACCAGAGGAGCUGUGUGAAUGAGAGGAGCCAACAAUCUAGGGGUUUAAUUAGCAGGUGCUUCUCAUACAUUGUCGAAGGCCACAGCAAAGAAAAAGACUUUUCCCCCCUUACAAACACCUCAACCACACUUAGAACCUAAGGCUUUAUUGCCUGAAGAGUGACUACCUCUAGGAGACCAAAUAAAAGGACACCAGCAAUACUGGGGGCAUUGUGUUCAUUAGGAUGAAACAAUGGGUCCCAGAGUUAAUAAACCACUCAUUGAAUUUUCUCCUCAACCCACAGGUUCUAAUUCCCCAGUAUGGACAAAAAUGAUGGCACAUAGUAAACCUAGCAACCUCAAGGAGCCUGGCAUGGCAUGGUCAAUCUUAAAAACUCAGAAGCCAAAAGUAACCAUAUAGAAUGGUUUGAAGUUAAAACUUUCUAAGUAAAUGUUUGGACAUUUCUUACAGCAACACCAAAAGCAAUUGACUCAUGUGAAGCAGGAGAAGGUUACAUGGAGGGGUAUCAGCAUUUCCCGGGACUCAACUGACGGAAGACAGAUUUUUAAAAAAUGAAGAGCAUCCCAGAACCCAGCAAGCUAGAGCUUUCAAGAACAGAAGAAAAUGCUAAUCACCCUCAGUCUCCCAGCCUGAGUUCCCUGCAUAUCCCGCCCCCGCCCAAGGCUGGCUGGCAUGCAAACUGGAAAGCCAUGUUCUGAGGCACACCCCUGCCAUACUGAGCGUGUCCCCCCAAAAUGAGGCCCAAAACCUGGGUUCCUGGGAGUUGAGUGAGCUCCACACUGAGGAGGACCUGUGCCCUGUUUCCAGGAGAGACAGCAGGCGGGGCAGAGGCCACACAAGAGGGCCCAGCAAGGGCAGUAGCCUCGCAGGCAGAUCCUGCCCAAGGUCCUGCCAGCCCAUAUGCCCCAGGCAGUGAGGGUGCGAGCAGGAGCCUUCGGGGCACAGGAAUCCCAGGCUGUGUCAGUGAGGUGAGGGGGGAGUGGGCAGUGGCUUUGUCCUUCCUACACUGGUCCCUCCCUCUUGUGUCCAGAGGCAGAGCAGCCAGAGGGCCGGUAGGCAUUGUGCCAGACCAGCCCAGAGCCGUCCAGGGGUGGGUGGGCAUGCGGAGCCCAGCACCUGGGUGACUUACUUAGUGGCUCUUGAAGGGAAGCAAAGGAAAACAUAGCAGAGACUGAGGGACAUGCUGAGAGCUCAGAAGAGCGGCUGCCUCACCUGCGAGCAGAUGCUCAGGCCAUUCCCUCUGCAGCUGGCUCUGCUGCAGCUGUUUCAGGGAUGACCUGAGCCAGGACCUGGCUGCACCUAGGGGAAUGUUUCAACCACGGCCUGUGCCCGUUCCCACGGAAACAUGGUCCCUCCUGUGUUCCUUUGCUAGGUCUGGAAAGUAGUGCUGUCCCGGCCCAGGCGGAGGUGCUCAGAGGAGGUGUGGGCAGGCAGCUCCACCGCAGCCCCUGGUUCUCAGCCUGGCAUGUCCCAUGCAGGCCACCUGCUGUAGGAGGAAGGGUCCUCAUGCCUACAGACUCCUAUCCGAUGCCAAGGGCAGGGCUCCUGGUGGCACAGGUGGCCCCACCCAGAUCCCUCCUGCCCUAAGAGGAAGGAGCAACUCCGGGAGGGACCCUCACUCCCCACACAGGCCCCUCCUGGGGCAGCCAGGCCACUUGUCUGACCCUGAGCUCGUAGAACUGGAAGUGUUUUAACUUGGAUUGAGAAGCCUUGAAAGCUUUAUUUAUUUAUAGCUUCUUGUUUAAAAACAGUGUUGAGAAGAAAUCUAUGGUUAUUCAUACAAAAGCUGAGUUGAUGGGAGACAAGUCAUAAUCUAAUUGUUUUUGUGGAGGGCAAGAGCGAAUGUUGUUGAUGAAAUAAAC